AGCUCUGUAAGCGUAUACCAAAGUUGUUGCAGUUAAAACGCUCGUAGUCGGACUUUGGCGGUUUCGGGAGUGCGCCGCGUCGUGCGGACACUUUGCAGGAACUGCUUUUGUGGGUUUCGCGUCAGAUGAGGGCUGUUAAUUCGGUAACGUCUGUACGCAACCACUGUUUACUGUGAGAAAAUCAGAGUGCUCAAAGCAGGCAUUUGCCGUGAAUGUAUUAGCAUGGAAUAAUAGAAUAGGACUUAGUCUUAUUUUGUUGGUUUGUUAGGACUGAGUAAUGAUUAAGAGGGACAGUUGGGGGCAUUUGUAUUUCGGCGCUAGAGGUGAAAUUCUUAGAUUGCCGAAAGACAAACUGCUGCGAAAGCGUCUGCCAAGGAUGUUUUCAUUGAUCAAGAACGAA
rnacentral:rRNA from 1 species